GACGAACGCUGGCGGCGUGCUUAACACAUGCAAGUCGAACGGAAAGGCCCUGCUUUUGUGGGGUGCUCGAGUGGCGAACGGGUGAGUAACACGUGAGUAACCUGCCCUUGACUUUGGGAUAACUUCAGGAAACUGGGGCUAAUACCGGAUAGGAGCUCCUGCUGCAUGGUGGGGGUUGGAAAGUUUCGGCGGUUGGGGAUGGACUCGCGGCUUAUCAGCUUGUUGGUGGGGUAGUGGCUUACCAAGGCUUUGACGGGUAGCCGGCCUGAGAGGGUGACCGGGCACAUUGGGACUGAGAUAGGGCCCAGACUCGUACGGGAGGCAGCAGUGGGGAAUAUUGCACAAUGGGCGGAAGCCUGAGGCAGCAACGCCGCGUGCGGGAUGACGGCCUUCGGGUUGUAAACCGCUUUCGCCUGUGACGAAGCGGGAGUGACGGUAAUGGGUAAAGAAGCACCGACUAACUACGUG
rnacentral:rRNA from 1 species